rnacentral:pre_miRNA from 1 species
UUAACUCAAAUUUAUAUGGAAAGCUUGCCUACGUUUGCCGCUAGGGGCGCCGUUCCAACUCCAUACAAAUUUGAGUUA